AGCAAUACUUUGGUGGCGACCGGCGCACGGGUGAGUAACGCGUAUGCAACCUACCUAUCAGAGGGGAAUAACCCGGCGAAAGUCGGACUAAUACCGCAUAAAACAGGGGCACCGCAUGGUGAUAUUUGUUAAAGAAAUUCGCUGAUAGAUGGGCAUGCGUUCCAUUAGGUAGUUGGUGAGGUAACGGCUCACCAAGCCGACGAUGGAUAGGGGAACUGAGAGGUUGGUCCCCCACACUGGUACUGAGACACGGACCAGACUCCUACGGGAGGCAGCAGUGAGGAAUAUUGGUCAAUGGGCGGGAGCCUGAACCAGCCAAGUCGCGUGAAGGAAGAAGGAUCUAUGGUUCGUAAACUUCUUUUGCAGGGGAAUAAAGUGCGGGACGUGUCCUGUUUUGUAUGUACCCUGAGAAUAAGGAUCGGCUAACUCCGUGCCAGCAGCCGCGGUAAUACGGAGGAUCCGAGCGUUAUCCGGAUUUAUUGGGUUUAAAGGGUGCGUAGGUGGUUUGAUAAGUCAGCGGUGAAAGUUUGCAGCUUAACUGUAAAAAUGCCGUUGAAACUGUCGGACUUGAGUGUAAAUGAGGUAGGCGGAAUGCGUGGUGUAGCGGUGAAAUGCAUAGAUAUCACGCAGAACUCCGAUU
rnacentral:rRNA from 1 species